rnacentral:rRNA from 1 species
AUUGAACGCUGGCGGCAUGCUUUACACAUGCAAGUCGAACGGCAGCGCGGGCUUCGGCCUGGCGGCGAGUGGCGAACGGGUGAGUAAUACAUCGGAACGUGCCCAGUAGUGGGGGAUAGCUCGGCGAAAGCCGGAUUAAUACCGCAUACGACCUGAGGGUGAAAGCGGGGGAUCUUCGGACCUCGCGCUAUUGGAGCGGCCGAUGGCAGAUUAGCUAGUUGGUGGGGUAAAGGCCUACCAAGGCGACGAUCUGUAGCUGGUCUGAGAGGACGACCAGCCACCACUGGACCUGGGCACCGCCCCAGACCCUUAGGGGAGGCAGAAGGGGGAAUUUUGGACAAUGGGCGAAAGCCUGAUCCAGCAAUGCCGCGUGUGUGAUGAAGGCCUUCGGGUUGUAAAGCACUUUUGGCGGGAACGAAAAGGACUGUGCCAAUACCACGGUUCGAUGACGGUACCCGCAGAAUAAGCACCGGCUAACUACGUG